rnacentral:rRNA from 1 species
UACGGAGGAUGCGAGCGUUAUCCGGAUUUAUUGGGUUUAAAGGGUGCGCAGGCGGGAUCUUAAGUCAGCGGUGAAACGCCGGAGCUCAACUCCGGCCCUGCCGUUGAAACUGUUUUUCUUGAGUAAAUUCGAGGUAAGCGGAAUUCGUAGUGUAGCGGUGAAAUGCAUAGAUAUUACGAGGAACUCCGAUAGCGCAGGCAGCUUACCAGACUUUAACGGACGCUGAGGCACGAAAGUGUGGGUAUCAAACAGG